rnacentral:misc_RNA from 1 species
GAAUAAAGGAAAAAAACAAAGAAUGAAGACUGAAAACACUAAGAAAUAAGGAAAAAGAAGAAGAAAAGGUAAUAAAGAGGGAGGCGGGGCGUGCCGCCAACCAAAAAUGAUGGCUGGCAGUGCCCCAUUUGAAGGCUUUGCAGCAUUGUCGAGGUUUGAGAGAGAAUGAGGGUUGCAGUGCCUUCUUGGUUUGUUGAGUGCAUCAUACACGUUUCAACUAAUGCGUAAAGAAUAUGGCCUUAAACGUUUUGCCCAAAUGAGUAAGCAAAGACAAGGUAAAACUGAAAUCAAUAAUAAUUGACCACCUAUUUUUAUUUUUUCCGCAUCCUCGUGUAUUUACUAAACCCCACAAAGGAGGGAAAUAGUAUCAAUUCAUGAAAGACUCAAAAUAAUUAUUGAAACAUAACAAAUGACUGAGCUAUUAGCCAACAGAUAAUGCUUUAGAAAACCUUUCAAGUAAAUAGAACAAUGCUCAAAAAUAGUCAAGAAAACCCCUAAAAGAAGGUUGGCCAACAAGACCAAUAAAGUAUCCACACAUGAGAGACUCAAGGUAUCCAUACAUUAAAUUAUGGAAACAAAAUUUCAACCUGUUUAUGCUACUUCAUAGAUAAGAAAUGAACAGAUUUGACAAAAUCAUCGCUUUCCACCACCACCACCAAGCUUGGGGCCCUUUGGUGCAGCACCCUUAGGCACAUUGCCCUUGGUCUGUGUUUUUUGAGUUUUGGCCAUCAACUCAGCUUUCUUUGCCUUUUUUUCAUCUUUUGUUUUCUUGAUCCUCUCCUUGAUUUCACGUAAAGCAGCUUCACGAGCAGCAUCUCGGACCUCUGGUUUCUCAGUCCUCCUCUUCUGUAUGACCUCCAAGGUGGCACCAACUAUAGACCUUGAAUAUGGCUUCUUGGUGGUCCUGCGCUUCUUCUUAACAGCCUCAGCAGCAAUGUCCUUCUUGUGUUGUUUCCUGUACAUGGCUGUCCAGGUAAGCUUUGAAGGCUUUAGGCGGUUGUGGAAGUACCUCUUGCAUUUUGAAUUGGCGAAGAGGAAAACCUGAGAAUCAGAUCGAACAAAUCUGAUACCCUUACCAGGGUAAAUCUUGGCACCGCUGAAGCGACAAAGCUCAGUCCUAAUAUCCCAAAACCAAGUACAAAAUCACAAACAAAAAAACUUGAAAACAAAAGCAUAAAACGAAAUCUAACAAUGCCCUAUCACAGAAUGCAAUGAAACCAAACCCACGGUGCAACAGUCCACAGAUACAGGACAACAGGGCACAGAUUGAAAUUGAGGUGCCCCAAUGGGUAAGCAAGUAUAAUUUAGCAAAAAACUAGUAUUGCACCCUACAAUAAAGAAUAAAUAAUAACAUUUGCACAAAGCUUCUUCGCAUUAAGUCAUUAACAUAGGCCCAACAAUUUUUGCGCACAUAAACGCUACACUGCUUCAUUUGACAGAAAAUUACAGUUCAUUUCUGGAAAACGAUAAUUUCUUUCAAUUGUAUCGGUAUAUACAUGAUUUUGGGGUUCCCGAAAUCCAACCAGGAUAUGAAGUUCAAGAAAAGAAAAAGGCAGAAUAAUUACUAAAAGAGAAUGUGAAACUCAUUGACGUUCAACAUUCUAAAUUAAUUGGAGAGAUGAACACCAAAGAUUCAGGAUUCAACCUCAGAUCUAAAAAGUUAACGCUUUGCCCAAUAGAAAGAAAAAUUGGUUCUGUUCAGAGAGAGAGAAGCUUACUUGAGAACCAUGUCAAAAGUUGGAUGAUAGCGCCUGAUGCUCAAGUCUCGGAAACCCUAAACUUCCAAUCUUUC